GGGCGGUGCCCAGGCCCAAAUCCCUUCCAAAGCGUCGGGGAAAAAAGAGACGGGAAGGCGAGCUAGGGCCUGCUGCUUUUCCGUUCCUCCUCGUCCCGCGGUGAAGACCCCCUUCCCUGCGGGGAGAAAGGAGCGAAGAAGACCCGAACCUUAUUACCUUCCCGGUGACCCCGCCAGGUCCUCCGAUCACCUCAAAGUGGUAAUCCUUUGGGAGAAAUGUCAUGUGAAGAUGCCCAGAAAAAAAAUAGGCCUGAAAAAUUGUUGAACUACUACAAACCACUACACCUGAGAUGCCUUUGAAGACUUUCCAGAAACUACAGCUGAGGCAGAAUGUGGCAAUCCUUAGUCAUGACCUGACUGUUUGGAAUAGCC